CGCCCAACAGCUAGCCCCAAAAACCAAAAACAACAAACCCCUAUAAAUAACCCCUAAUACACCCAAAACUACUAACUAAACCAUUCUCCCGCCCUAGUAUAGGAGAUAGAAAAG
rnacentral:rRNA from 1 species